rnacentral:rRNA from 1 species
UACGAGGGGUGCAAGCGUUGCUCGGAAUUAUUGGGCGUAAAGGGUAGGUAGGUGGUCUCAUUUGUCAGGGGUGAAAGCCUUGGGCUUAACCCAAGAAGUGCCCCUGAAACGGUGAGACUAGAGUGCUGGAGAGGGUCGUGGAAUUCCCGGUGUAGCGGUGAAAUGCGUAGAGAUCGGGAGGAACACCAGAGGCGAAGGCGGCGACCGUGGACAGCUACUGACGCUGAGGCGCGAAAGCUAGGGGAGCAAACAGG